AUGAAGAUACCUCUUAAGAAUAAAAUCUUUGCAUGGUAUCUUCGUCGCGGAGUCAUUCUUACUAAAGUUAACCUUAUUAAGAGGAAUUGGCAUGGAAGUACGCAAUGUGUAUUUUGUCCGCAUGAUGAGACAAUAAAAUAUUUGUUCUUCCAAUGUAAAUUGGCUCGUUUUAUAUGGUCAGUCAUCCAAAUAGCUCUGGCUUGUAUCCUCCUUAUAGUGUUGCUAAUAUAUUUGGCAACUGGUUACAUGGGAUUGAUCACAGGUUCGGAAUUCUACUUAGGGAGGGAGCACAUGCCGUGA
rnacentral:rRNA from 1 species